rnacentral:rRNA from 1 species
UGUGCAGGCGGUUGUUUAAGUUCGGUGUGAAAUCUCCCGGCUCAACUGGGAGGGUGCGCCGAAUACUGAAUGACUAGAGUGCGGGAGAGGAAAGUGGAAUUCCUGGUGUAGCGGUGAAAUGCGUAGAUAUCAGGAGGAACACCGGUGGUGUAGACGGCUUUCUGGACCGUAACUGACGCUGAGACACGAAAGCGUGGGUAGCAAACAGGAUUAGAUACCCUGGUAGUCCACGCCCUAAACGAUGCAUAUUUGGUGUGGGUCAUUCAGUUGAUCCGUGCCGGAGCUAACGCGUUAAAAUAUGCCGCCUGGGGAGUACAGUCGCAAGGCUGAA